rnacentral:rRNA from 1 species
AUUGAACGCUGGCGGCAUGCCUUACACAUGCAAGUCGAACGGCAGCACGGGUGCUUGCACCUGGUGGCGAGUGGCGAACGGGUGAGUAAUACAUCGGAACAUGUCCUGUAGUGGGGGUUAGCCCGGCGAAAGCCGGAUUAAUACCGCAUACGAUCUACGGAUGAAAGCGGGGGCCCUUCGGGCCUCGCGCUAUAGGGUUGGCCGAUGGCUGAUUAGCUAGUUGGUGGGGUAAAGGCCUACCAAGGCGACGAUCAGUAGCUGGUCUGAGAGGACGACCAGCCACACUGGGACUGAGACACGGCCCAGACUCCUACGGGAGGCAGCAGUGGGGAAUUUUGGACAAUGGGCGAAAGCCUGAUCCAGCAAUGCCGCGUGUGUGAAGAAGGCCUUCGGGUUGUAAAGCACUUUUGUCCGGAAAGAAAUCCUUGGCCCUAAUACGGUCGGGGGAUGACGGUACCGGAAGAAUAAGCACCGGCUAACUACGUG